UAUUACACGUGAUGAGUUUAAAACAUUUCCAUUAUUCUUUUCUUCUAGAACACCAUGCAAGUUGCAGUACAAACGAGGUCACCUGAUGCCCAACCUACAGGGCCCACAGACCUGCCGAGCGGUUUACGGCCUGUACCCACUUACAGCCCAGUGUCCAGCCAACCAGUCAGUCGUCAGUCAUCCGGCCAAACUGGCUUUCAAAACACCAUGCAAGUUGCAGUACAGUCACCUGAUGCCCAACCUUCAGGUAGGAAUAAUACAGUGAUCUCUCUCUUUUUACCUUGACAUAACU